AUAGGCAUGAGUGACCAGUACAGCUCCUGCCCUUGGCCGCCGCGCCAGCAUUCUACCUUGGGCCAUGCUGCAGCCCCGCUUCUGAAUUUUUAUUUUUAUUUUUAUUAAUUUAGAGGCAGUGUCUCAGGUAGCCCAGGAUAACCUUGAACUCCUGAUCCCCAGUCCUCUUCCCCUUGAGUGCUAUGCCGCCAUGCCUGGUUCAUAGGGUGCUGGGGAUGGUACCCAGGGCUUAGAGCAGGCUCACACAUGCUCUCCCGCCCCAGCCUCAGUCCUGUGUUUAUUUCGUAGGAGUGUGUGUUUGAGACAGUUGGGUUUCGUAGCCCAGGCUGCCCUUGCUGCCUGCCUCCAUCUGGCUUGCCAAAGCUGGGACCUAAGGCAUAGCCAGUCUGAAUCUUUUAAAUGCAUAAAAGAAAAACAUGUUUUUAAUAUCUGGCACCACAGAGCUGGUGGAAAUUAUUGUUUUGAUUGAUUUUGUUUAUUUUUUCAGCUGCCGUGGGACCCAGGGCCUGGUGCAUCCUGGGAAGCAUCUGCUCUUGGUCCAGGCCCUGACCCUGCACUUAUUACGUUUUUCCUUGAUUUUCCCUGGCCACAUGAAAAGGCACUGAGCACAGUAGCACGUGAGCCUGCCAAGUGCAUUCCUGCACUUGGGAGACUGAGGCAGGAGGAUUGUUGUGAGUUCUAGGUAGUUCUAGGGUGACAUAGCAAGAUGCCACCUUGAUAAAGAGAGAAG
rnacentral:lncRNA from 1 species